CAGUUUAGUAAACAACAAUUUUCAAAUAUAUGUGUUGCCAUGAGACAUCUAACCGUUAGAACAUAUCGGCGUUCUAUUGAACGUUUUCUGUUCGAAAACAAGAACAACUUCAAUUUGCUGUUUAACAACAACAAACUUGUCUGAUUUUUGAGACCUGAGAUUGAAACAUCGACUGGAAAAUGCCUGGGUGCUUUUCAAGAUUGACGGAGCGAGUGCGAGGACGUCGGCAGCCUUCUGCGUCGACAGGUUGUUCAAAUUCAUUUAUGGGUUGUUUUUGUUGUCUUUUUCCGUUUUGCAGGGUUCGCGAUCGUCGGGAGGUGGACAGCGACAGCGACUUCGAAGAGGAAUCAACUGUGCUGGAUGAGGUCCAGUUGGAUGUGCCACUGCUGCCAGUUAUCCUUAAUGUCCAGGAUGCUGCUAUCAUCCUCAAAAAUGUGCCAGAUGUGCUGACUAUCUUUGAGGAGGCCACUGGUAAUUGGCAGCUGAUACCGAUUAGGUUCAGCCCCCUGUACUGUGGGCCUGUUGUGAUCAGGAACAAUGCCGGUCCGGUGGCUAAAGCCUGGAGAACUUUCCAGUUCUUCAGCCCCUCUAUCACCUACAUGCGUGGGGGAUCCCAGCAGGUGGUGGUGAGGAGGCACCAUGUGAGUAGGGUUCGAGGCCUGGAGACUCAACUGGUGUGGGCCAUCUCCAAGGAGACAGCCAGGCUUAGUCCAGAGGGCAUCCCCUACUGUGCCACCAAGGUGCAGUCCGUCACUUGGAUCCAGUAUGUGGCUGGCAGGGUGACCCAGUAUGUGUCUCACCUCCGCCACGAGACGUCUGUGGACGUGACGUUUGGCUGCUACCAGCAGACUGAUGUCUCAGUGGUGUAUGCCACUCUCCACAUGGGGCUGGAUGGGCUGCUCUCCUCCUCGGCGUGGUCGGAGGCUGCCUCCGUGUCUACGCCCACCAAUCAGCAGUUCACUGAGCCAGAGCCUGAGGGCCACAACUGCUAUGAGGGCUGGGAGGAGGACCUGCUGCCUGAGGAGAGAGAGGUUCCUCUGCUAAACCUCUACCUUACCACCAAGAGAGUGGAGGACAUCGCCCUGAGGCUCGUCUCCCUGCGCCAGGCCUUCACUGACGAGGCCGAAUUCAUCCGUGCCUAUAAUGACUUUGUGGACUACCUGAGUGACCCCUCCAAGAAGAUUGACAUUGAGAGGGAGCUGGUUGAGGCAAAGAUCCAUCAUGUUAACCUGAUAGAUGUCCUCUUUGAACUGGUGCUGUUUGGGUUGAUGACAGCUCAGAAGUCCCUGAUGGUGCACCCUGGUGGGUUCAUGGAGCGUCUGUACGCUCUCCUGUACUCCUUCCUGCCCGCUGCUGCCAGCAUUGAGCCAAAGGCUGAGAGAUACCUGCUGCUGCUCAAUGUAAGAGUCAAGAGUUUACUUCCUUAUUCCUAGUAGACUUUUUCCUGAUUAACAGGGUUUCAAUUACAUUUUACAGGGAGUAACUCUCAUUGUCUCUCUGCUCUUGAUAAGCUAGUAACUCAGAGCCAUUAUCUAUGUGUUGUGUGGUGUUCUCUUCAGGGCGGGCUGAUGGCUCUGCUAGAUGACAUGUUUGGGCAGCAGCUGGCCUGGUACUUUAACCCAGUGUCUCUGGUCACUGAGCUCUCCAGCCUCCUGGAGUACCACCUGGAGAACCUCAUGGCCAGCAUGUAGUCCUACUGCAGAGAUCUGAAAGGCCACUCUCUCUCUCUCUGUCCAUCUCUCUGUUUUUGUCCAUCUCUCUCUCUCUGUCCAUCUCUCUCUCUCUCUGUCCAUCUCUCUCUCUCUCUCUGUCCAUCUCUCUUUCUCUCUCUCAGGAUUUGAGGACUUGAAGUGCUUCGUUGAACCUUGAUUAGUUAACACCCCAUUCAAUUAAUGUAUUCUCUUGUUUUCUCUCCCCACAGGAUUCUUGUGACACUUUGCCACCUAACAGGGAUCUAGACACUAAUGCACUACAUUACUUUGCACUGAAUUUUACAUUUUUAAAUAAAAUAACUAGUAUUUCAAUUGCAUUUGUCUCUGUCUUUCCAUUUACUUGAUUAUUUCAUCACUACUUCCUCUUCCUGGAGUUAUGAGGCUAAUAUUACAUGAACAA
ensembl:lncRNA